rnacentral:rRNA from 1 species
AACGAACGCUGGCGGCAUGCCUAACACAUGCAAGUCGAACGAGACCUUCGGGUCUAGUGGCGCACGGGUGCGUAACGCGUGGGAACCUGCCCUUAGGUUCGGAAUAACUCCCCGAAAGGGGUGCUAAUACCGGAUAAUGUCUUCGGACCAAAGAUUUAUCGCCUUUGGAUGGGCCCGCGUUGGAUUAGCUAGUUGGUAGGGUAAAAGCCUACCAAGGCGACGAUCCAUAGCUGGUCUGAGAGGAUGAUCAGCAACACUGGGACUGAGACACGGCCCAGACUCCUACGAGAGGCAGCAGUGGGGAAUAGUGGAAAAUGGGCGAAAUGCUGAAGCAGCAAUGCCACGUAAAUGAUGAUGGCCUUAGGGUAGGAAAGCUCUAUUACCCGGGAUGAUAAUGACAGUACCGGGAGAAUAAGCUCCGGCUAACUCCGUG